GCUCAAGCGGCUGCCGAGCGGUGGCGGCGCGGCUGCCUGUAUUCCAUUUGCGGUACACUUGUCCUGGGGGCCCGGAGAUGGCACCUCGGCGAGGCUACCGGGACCGGUAUAAGACGUCCUAAAUCAGCCCCUCUUAUUCGUACACUUAACAAAUUCUAACGAUGAAUAAUGGAUCAGACGACAAAAACUCAGAGGCUUUUCGCCACAAAGCCAAGGAUAGUGCGUAUCCAACCUCCUGUUAAGAUUACCACCCCCAACAUAAUUGGCUUUUGCACCAUCACAAACUCUCAUUGCAUACAGACAUCCUGGGGAAUAACCAGCUGCUGACAGAAAAAGCAUAAUUAGCUGAGGGAUUAGCGAAGCCUAUUACUUCGUCUGGGCGGAAAAAACUUCUUUUGUCUGUCUGUCUGUCUGCACGUCUGUCUGUCCUUACGAUAACUCGAAAACGAAUUGAGCGAGCGUCCUGGGAUUUUCAGGGUAGUUUUGUAUCAUAACAAGCAGGCCCGCCCUUCCGCCAAACGGAGUUGCCAGCUUCGCUUCUCUCCGCCGGCAACUCCGUUCAGCGGAAGGGCGGGCCUGCGUGUUGAUUCUAACCACAGCUUUUUGAAACAGGAGAAAGCGCCUGUUUUCAGCGCGGUAAAAUUACUAAGUAAGCAAAAUUUGAAUGCUGGUUCCAGCUACAUUUUUUGUCUUUUGUUUGGCGAAUUUAUCUAUUAGACAUUCCCUGUCUGUACCCGAGGGUGAAAGUAUAGCGUUUUGAUAAAGGUUGCUGUUGCCGUUGCUGAUAUUGCCGAUUAACGUUAUCGUCAAAAGUUUUGAUAAGCAGAUUUUCAGUCUUACCUCAUUCAGCUAAAAAUACAAACCCUUAGCGCCUGUAUAUUUUGAAUUUGCUUUUGGAGCUGGACUGCCUCGUUACUGGCCAGCAGGCCAGUUUUUUUUAGCUUUAGAAAGGAUUUGUGACUGCUUGUUCAUAGCGAAAGAAUCUAUAUUAUCAUCGGCAAUCGACUUAUCAUAACUGGAACGUUAAUCGGCUAUCUUUAUCAAAACUGGAAACUUUUACCUUCGGGGAGAGACAGACCACAAGGAACUGUCUAAAAAACGAAGUCUCUACAACAAUUUUGACCGAAAAGGUUACAAGUUUUAGUUCAUGUCAUUUGCCUAAAAAUUGCCUUACAGCUAUGAUAUUUGGUAUUCGAGUUGACAUUUUCCUUGCCGAUCCAAUGGUGCCAAUGCCAGUAUUGUACAACCUCUAUUUCAAAUAGUUAAAUCCGUGUGAGAAGUGCGGUAAGUGGUCACAGCCAUCCCCCUGCUGUGAGGGAGGCCAGCAGCCGGGGGAGGCGGCCGAGCAGACCCCGCCCCAUCCCACCCGCCUCUUUUUUCCGGGGUGCCCCCCACACCCCUCCCGCUCCCCCCUCUGCGCGACGAAGACGGCUGCAGGCUCUCUCUUUCUCUAAAGGUCUCAGGUGGUUCGAAACAGAGGUUUACGCGUGACAUAUUUUCGAGAAAACCUCAAACCUGAGAUUUUUUUUUACGAGUUCGUUAGAAAGACCAAAGUUCAAUCUAGUGCAUGGUCUACUUUUCAUCUCUAUACGUUCAGCCGUUUGGCUGCUAUAAGGGCCUGUAAACCACUAAUUUUCAAGGCAUUCCAGGACGAAAACUAUUUCAUUUCAUACCUUGAAAAAUAGACAAUGCUCUAGGUCUAGUAUGUGACUACCCUACUGCAAAGUUUGAAAACUGUGCGAUUUGCCGUUUCGACGAAAAUGUGUCACGGAGUUGUCAAAAUUUCGAACUUUGAGGCGUCGCGAAGCGAAAACUAAGCGCCGGAGAGCAAAAUGGUUCGAGGUGGUGUAUUAUGGUAACAUACACUUCAGAUUUCUGAAAUAAAAAUUUUACGCUCCUACCGCCUUAAGAGCCGUUAAGAGCUAAAGUUAUACAUUGUAACUUUUAAUGUCGCCUUUUUAAAAUAAGUUAAUUAUUGUACUUGGCCAACUUUUCUCUAUGUAUGGACGAUUAAUAUCGGUCCUAUUUGGAAAUCCAUUACUAUUACUUUUACUUAUACAUGUGCAUUGUUACGUUGAGUAACUAACAUUCGUUCGCGUUAUGAUAAGUUUUAGCCCUGCAGAUUUGUUAUAAUUUGAGCUCAUUCCGAGGAGUGUUCAUUAUAGAGCGACUGGUCCUAUUUUAGACCAGCACCUUGCUCGGAUUGUGUGCAGCUUGCUAUGAGGACUAAAAUUCAUCUCUUAUUUUCUUAUUCUUAGAGCAGGGACAUUUUUGUUUCCAUUUCAAGCGCAAACAUUUGUGCUCAUUACUGUGAAUUAGCCAGGAUUAAACGGAAAAAGAAUCGCUUCUACGGUUUCUACAAUGUAUUUUAAAAAGCUUCCAUAGAGAGGUACUGAUAAAAAAUAUUAAGUCUGGUCCAAAAUAGGUGUGUUCGCUCUUAUCCCCACUAAUUUUUUACUGUAAUUUUUACUUAUGUAAAUGCAUUACUUACGGGUUAUGCUCCUCUCCUUCAUCAUCAAGACAUUCAGUAUCUGAUGUAGGGUUUGAAAUUUACCGGUAAUUUUGGUUUGGUGCGGUAAAUUACCAAAAUUACCGGUAAAUUGGUAAUUUACCGGUAAACUACCGGUAAUUUUACAAAAGUUGCUUCAAACAGCUGCAAAUAUUUAUAGAAUGUAAAAUAUAAAUUGGGUGUCAAUUAAAUAACUUUUGUUAACCGUCUCGGGUUCCUCUAAUAUGUUUAAUCUAUAAAGAUACACAUUGAUAAGAGAGAUACAUAGGCCUACAUAAUAGGAGGCUUUUCGGUUAAGAUAAGGACGGACGAAUUUCUUGA